GAUGAAGAACGUAGCGAAAUGCGAUAAGUAAUGUGAAUUGCAGAAUUCAGUGAAUCAUCGAAUCUUUGAACGCACAUUGCGCCCGCCAGUAUUCUGGCGGGCAUGCCUGUUCGAGCGUCAUUUCAACCAUCAAGCCCCCGGGCCUGUGUUGGGGACCUGCGGCUGCCCGCAGGCCCCGAAAACCAGUGGCGGGCUCGCUGUCACCCCGAGCGUAGUAGCUAACACCUCGCCCAGGGAGUGCCGCGGGUCCCGGCCGUAAAACCUAACACCUAAGGUUGACCUCGGAUCAGGUAGGAAGACCCGCUGAACUUAAGCAUAUCAAUAAGCGGAGGA
rnacentral:misc_RNA from 1 species